rnacentral:rRNA from 1 species
AGCGAACGCUGGCGGCAGGCCUAACACAUGCAAGUCGAACGAAGCCUUCGGGCUUAGUGGCGGACGGGUGAGUAACACGUGGGAACGUACCUUUUGGUUCGGAAUAACGCAGAGAAAUUUGCGCUAAUACCGAAUGAGCCCUUCGGGGGAAAGAUUUAUCGCCGAAAGAUCGGCCCGCGUUGGAUUAGGUAGUUGGGGUGGUAAAGGCGCACCAAGCCUACGAUCCAUAGCUGGUCUGAGAGGAUGAUCAGCCACACUGGGACUGAGACACGGCCCAGAAUCCUACGGGAGGCAGCAGUGGGGAAUCUUGCGCAAUGGGCGAAAGCCUGACGCAGCCAUGCCGCGUGAAUGAUGAAGGUCUUAGGAUUGUAAAAUUCUUUUACCAGGGACGAUAAUGACGGUACCUGGAGAAAAAGCCCCGGCUAACUUCGUGCCAGCCGCCGCCGUAACAC